AGCGGACGGAUCGGUGAAUUACCGUCCUGCCCGAGAACAAAAAGCUAGGGAGGUGCAGCUUUGCAAAGCUGGGCUCCAUUGAGCCCUCCUGAUGAAUGAGAGGCGGCUGCAUGCCGGAUCCCCACUAGAGGGAGCACAGAGUUGGUCGGCCAGAGGAGCUGCCGUGUGCCGUGGGAGAGACGCUGGGAGCUGUCUGGGUAGGAACAGCCAGGACUUUCCCCACAACAAGAAGCGCUCGGCGGUGUUCGAACCAGCCGGGAGGGCUGCCCGCUUGCCCAGUCUUGCCGGGCACGGCGCGCAGCUGUUGCGAGAGGCGGUCCGGGGAAGCGCAGGGAGGGGGGCAGAGGAACGCGUGCGCUUGCCCGUCGUUGUGUAACGCUAACCGGGAGCCGCCGCUAGUGAACAAGCUGCACUGCAGGCACCUUGCCAGUCAAUCCCAGGCUGCGCAGGUAGCACCAUUAGAAACUAUGGUGAGAGUUCACAGUCUCAAUCAAGAGACAACAGUCUACACAUCAUGAAACCUACACAUUUUGGUAGGUUAUUACCAUCUUCAUAUUUCACAUGUUGUAAAAUCACUCAGUGCCGACAUUUUAGAAGAGAAUUUUGUCAUCCUGUCAAAAUGAAUUACAAUAGAAUUUGUUAAUACCAAAUGAAAAAUAACAUUAAAAAUUAAGAGUCAAAAUUUACAGCCUACUAGUAAUUUUCCAUUCUCAAGAGGAGAGCUCAGUUUUAUCCAAAACAACUCAAUCUUUCCUCUUAUCGCUAAUGUACAUAGCAUGAUUGAUAUUACAUUUCAUUAUGUAAACAUUACUUUAAUACUUCUCAUUACUUUUGCUCAAGUAACCCUGAAUAACUGUAGUAUCUGGCACAGGACGCUAUUGCUAUGGCAUUGUUUCAAAGCUAGUGGCUUUGUGUUGCACAAGAUGGAGCUCUCAAAGUCAUAGCAAAGACUCAGUUUUAAAAUUUUCUUUAGAAAAAAAUUACCUCAAUGAUCUGUAAAUCUUCAUAGCUCUUAUCCUGCAUUAAGAUCCGCUAACCUGGACCCAUGCAGGGUCCCAUUAACAUCAGUGGAGGUUGCACAGGUUCAGGAGACUGUGCCAGUGGUUUCUGAUGCAGGAUCAGGACCUUACCCUAAGAGGGUCCGUUCCAAAGCCCAUUGAAGGCAAUGGGAAUCUUUCCAUUAACGUCAGUGGUUUUAGGGUUACCCCCUACAAGCAGAAAGCUGCAGGGAAGUGUUUUAAGUUCCAUCCUCUGAAAGUACCAAUAACAUGACAAACUUUAAAAAAAAAUUGUUUGAUUGUAGGGAUUGGCCAGGGGAGAAGCAGGAAAAGAGGAAGGAAAUAAGAGUCCCUCUCUAAUUAUGCUUCUAUAAAUGUCCUUGAAUUCUUUGAUAAUGUGGUCUGCGGAAUUUCUUUCAAAACCAGAAUAGUCAAAUGUGGAGCCUGCUCUUCCAGUUAAAGCAGGCUAUUUACAUUCACCAUGCUGGGCUGGGCAGAUUUUCAAGAAAGGUUAGCUUUGUGUGUAUUCCCAUAUGGGGCCAAAGCACACCAUUUGUUUUGUUGCGGUGGCUAAGCAAAUAACUAAAGCUGUCUUGACUUCUAGGUACUGAAACCACUAAGUAACCCUUAAUUUGACUGCACUAUGUCUAGUAAACACCAUUAUAUUACAAACUCUUCACACCUGCUGAGUAGCGCCGGAUUAACCCAUCACUGGGACCCAGGCAAAACCCCAUUGUCCACCCCCCAGCGCUCCCUGCCACCCCUCUCCCAGCCAACUCUCCCCUGCAGCUGUCUCUGAGCAAGUCCUGUGGGCAGAGCAGAAAGGACGCGGCUGCUGGAAGCAGGCCCCGCGAGCAGAGGUGCCGACUUCCCAAGUUCCUGGGGUGUGCUUGACCCCCGCUCCGCCCCAGGCCCUGCCCCAACUCCACCCUUUCCCCCCAGCCCCACCCACAUUCUGUCUCUUCCUGCCCCUGCUCCGCACCACCUCUUCCCACGCACAUCCCUGUGCUGCCCUUUUCCACCCCUCGCCCACAUCUUCCUGCCCCUCUCCUCCCCCUCCUCCACAGUGCGCCCUGCACACUGCUGAAC